UGUUCCGUAGGGGGGACCUGCGGAGGGAUCAUUACCGAGUUUACAACUCCCAAACCCAAUGUGAACGUUACCAAACUGUUGCCUCGGCGGGAUCUCUGCCCCGGGUGCGUCGCAGCCCCGGACCAAGGCGCCCGCCGGAGGACCAACCAAAACUCUUUUUGUAUACCCCCUCGCGGGUUUUUUAUAAUCUGAGCCUUCUCGGCGCCUCUCGUAGGCGUUUCGAAAAUGAAUCAAAACUUUCAACAACGGAUCUCUUGGUUCUGGCAUCGAUGAAGAACGCAGCGAAAUGCGAUAAGUAAUGUGAAUUGCAGAAUUCAGUGAAUCAUCGAAUCUUUGAACGCACAUUGCGCCCGCCAGUAUUCUGGCGGGCAUGCCUGUCCGAGCGUCAUUUCAACCCUCGAACCCCUCCGGGGGGUCGGCGUUGGGGAUCGGCCCUGCCUCUUGGCGGUGGCCGUCUCCGAAAUACAGUGGCGGUCUCGCCGCAGCCUCUCCUGCGCAGUAGUUUGCACACUCGCAUCGGGAGCGCGGCGCGUCCACAGCCGUUAAACACCCAACUUCUGAAAUGUGACCUCGAUCAGGUAGGAAUACCCGCUGAACUUAAGCAUAUCAUAGCUGGGAAG
rnacentral:rRNA from 1 species